AUGAUGGCAGCGGGAGAGAUUACUGAUGGACAGGUAACGCCGAAGGAGUAAGCCUUUCAGGUGAAUCUCUCAGGCAAAAGGACCUUUGUCGGACG
rnacentral:ncRNA from 2 species